rnacentral:rRNA from 1 species
ACGCACGCUGGCGGCGUGCUUAACACAUGCCAGUCGAACGGAAAGGCCCUGCUUUUGUGGGGUGCUCGAGUGGCGAACGGGUGAGUAACACGUGAGUAACCUGCCCUUGACUUUGGGAUAACUUCAGGAAACUGGGGCUAAUACCGGAUAGGAGCUCCUGCUGCAUGGUGGGGGUUGGAAAGUUUCGGCGGUUGGGGAUGGACUCGCGGCUUAUCAGCUUGUUGGUGGGGUAGUGGCUUACCAAGGCUUUGACGGGUAGCCGGCCUGAGAGGGUGACCGGCCACAUUGGGACUGAGAUACGGCCCAGACUCCUACGGGAGGCAGCAGUGGGGAAUAUUGCACAAUGGGCGGAAGCCUGAUGCAGCAACGCCGCGUGCGGGAUGACGGCCUUCGGGUUGUAAACCGCUUUCGCCUGUGACGAAGCGUGAGUGACGGUAAUGGGUAAAGAAGCACCGGCUAACCACGUG